rnacentral:rRNA from 1 species
UACGUAGGGUGCAAGCGUUAAUCGGAAUUACUGGGCGUAAAGAGUGCGUAGGCGGCUAUGUAAGACAGAUGUGAAAUCCCUGGGCUUAACCUAGGAACUGCAUUUGUGACUGCAUGGCUAGAGUGUGGUAGAGGGAGAUGGAAUUCCGCAUGUAGCAGUGAAAUGCGUAGAUAUGCGGAGGAACACCAAUGGCGAAGGCGGCUCACUGGACUGGUACUGACGCUGAUGCGCGAAAGCGUGGGGAGCAAACGGG